rnacentral:rRNA from 1 species
GACGAACGCUGGCGGCGUGCUUAACACAUGCAAGUCGAACGAAGAGCGACGGAAGCUUGCUUCUAUCAAUCUUAGUGGCGAACGGGUGAGUAACGCGUAAUCAACCUGCCCUUCAGAGGGGGACAACAGUUGGAAACGACUGCUAAUACCGCAUACGAUCUAAUCUCGGCAUCGAGGAUGGAUGAAAGGUGGCCUCUACAUGUAAGCUAUCACUGAAGGAGGGGAUUGCGUCUGAUUAGCUAGUUGGAGGGGUAACGGCCCACCAAGGCGAUGAUCAGUAGCCGGUCUGAGAGGAUGAACGGCCACAUUGGGACUGAGACACGGCCCAGACUCCUACGGGAGGCAGCAGCGGGGAAUCUUCCGCAAUGGACGAAAGUCUGACGGAGCAACGCCGCGUGAGUGAUGACGGCCGUCGGGUUGUAAAGCUCUGUUAAUCGGGACGAAAGGCCUUCUUGCGAAUAGUGAGAAGGAUUGACGGUACCGGAAUAGAAAGCCACGGCUAACUACGUG